GUACACCCAUCGACGAACUCAUUCGUACGGCAGGAGCGGGGGACCCAGGUAAGUCGCCGAACCGGACGACUCACAUGGCGCAGCGCGUGACACAGCGCGCCGCACCGCGUGUUCGCACCGGACGGCUUGGGGUAAAGCCACGCCUCUCACGGGGCGCGACCGGGCACCUCCCCGCCCGAACCCGACAGCUCACCUCGCAGGCGUAGGAGAGGAACGUC
rnacentral:sRNA from 1 species